UACAGAGGGGGCAAGCGUUGUUCGGAAUUACUGGGCGUAAAGGGCGCGUAGGCGGCCGCCUAAGUCAGACGUGAAAUCCCUCGGCUCAACCGGGGAACUGCGUCUGAUACUGGGUGGCUUGAAUCCGGGAGAGGGAUGCGGAAUUCCAGGUGUAGCGGUGAAAUGCGUAGAUAUCUGGAGGAACACCGGUGGCGAAGGCGGCAUCCUGGACCGGCAUUGACGCUAAGGCGCGAAAGCCAGGGGAGCAAACGGG
rnacentral:rRNA from 1 species